UACGAAGGGGGCUAGCGUUGCUCGGAAUUACUGGGCGUAAAGCGCACGUAGGCGGCUUUCUAAGUCGGGGGUGAAAUCCUGGAGCUCAACUCCAGAACUGCCUUCGAUACUGGAGAGCUCGAGUCCGGGAGAGGUGAGUGGAACUGCGAGUGUAGAGGUGAAAUUCGUAGAUAUUCGCAAGAACACCAGUGGCGAAGGCGGCUCACUGGCCCGGUACUGACGCUGAGGUGCGAAAGCGUGGGAGCAAACAGGG
rnacentral:rRNA from 1 species